GUUGUAAUAGUUUCAGGUGGACACAUACAUGUAUGCAUUCUCCCCUAAACGACCCUCCCAUCCCAGCUGCCCCAUAACAUUGAGCAGAGUUCCCUACUGGGAAUCAUUUUGAUCAGUGUUUUCUCAUAUGUUCCUCUACUGCUGCUGUGUUGUCUGCUUUCCGUGCAGCAAGAUAACUACCUGAGCCACUUCUUAACUGGUGCAACACCUGGCUGAAUGCUCAGGGCACACCGCAGAAGGUGGGACGUGGGAGGCUCUAAGAGCCCUUCAGGAGGUGUGGAGGUUUCAGGAGAUCAUGGAGAGGACAAGAGCGCCCGUUGACCCACGAACCGGAUCCGGAAUUCAGAGGCUCACCCGCCCCCACCCCAGCCCCGGAACGUACGGAACGUACGUUCUGCCCACCCUUUCCACGGUUGGAGCCAUUUUCAAGGACGCAGCUUGAGGUGUUGAGCCCAUCUCUACCGCUUAGGUGGCUGAACCCAGUGCUGGAUAAUAUCAUGCUGAGCUACACCACCCAUGACACAUUAUUUUGGAGCAUACGUGGAUUAUUCUAUGGAUUUUUUUCUUGAAGAGAUUUAAACAAUUCUCCAAAUUUCACAUCCAGUUAGUUUAAUAUGCAUAUGUUUUACAUCACUAGAAGCCACUGAAAUAUAAAUAUUACCAUUUUUUAAUGCAUUUCACAAAAUUUCAUCACUUUUGAUGUGCAAUAAUGAGAAUAUAUUAGUAAAAAAGUAUCUCUUGAUUACUCCUUUUAUUGCCUGCCAAAUGCAUUAUAAUUUGUCUUUAUAGUUGAAGAUGUGACAUGGAAAAAAGGAGCUCUUCAAUUUUCAAUGGUUUACAGGCUACACGAAACAAUUUAUUCCUGAAUAGAAGUUCUGUUUGAUAUGUGAAUACUGCAAUGAAUAUUUGCCAGCAUCCAUUCAUUGAGAAACUAUUUUAUUGUUACUGUUAAAGUACUUGGGAACACAGCAGUAAAGCCC
rnacentral:lncRNA from 1 species